UCUUCUACCUUUCCCUCUCCCUCGUCUGCCUGCCUGCCUGCCUCCCACCCACAUAGCCGCCGCCGCCGUUGAUUCGGUGCCCCUCUUCCCCACCGCCACCGCCACUGCCCCCACCCUCUCCCUAUCCCCUCACCUUCUCUCCCUAACCUAGACGGGGCACCAGAACGGGCAGUCCAUGGGGCUUCCAGAUCCGUGGAGGAGCGCCGGAGGUCGCGCGCCGCCCGCCGUGCGGUUUUGCGCUACGGCCGGCCGGCCGUCGUCUCCGCCACGGUCGUCCUCUUCCUCCUCUGCUCCACCGCGUACAUCGACGGCGCCGCCGUGGCCGACCUCGAGCCUUUUCGCCUUCUCCUCGUCUGACGCGGAGGUGCUCUUACCCGACCUCGCCGCCGGGCCAAGGAAACCCCACCCCGCCGCGAGCUUUUCAUCCCUCAGGUCCUGCAAAAGCGUGCUCAAAGGCAUGCCACCUAGUUGUGGAAGAGCUGGUUAAGGAGUGGGAGCUCCCUUUUGUGGCCCAGCUCACAUCGACACACAGCCCCCUCCCUGCUUCCUCUGCGUCUCCGAUGGCUGCUUCUUCUUCGACUCCGGCAUAGAAAAUGGAGCUGAUUCUUUGAGGUCAUCCAGCUUUCUACAACAUCGACAGUGGUGGCCGCCUCUUCCUCGUUUCAGGCAAAUGCAUGGUUACACAAAGGGCCCUGCUGCUUCCUGCAGGAAUUUGGUCGUCUUGGUCCUCCACGGCGAGUUGGACUUUAUUUAAGUACUAUGCUCAUCCUUUCUACCACAACAUGUACAAGGAAUACCGUGACACCACCCCCGUCAAGGAGAUGUACAGAGAUGGCUUCCCGUCACUGCCAGAUCCCCCUGCAUCCAGAUCAUCAAGACUGCCACUGUCCACUUGAGCAUCUGCAAGCGUCAUAACACUAAGCAGUUUCACAAGUCAGACAUCAGGUUCCCGCUGGUCUACCAGAAGGCCGAGCAGCCAACCAGGAAGCUGAAGACGACCUUCAAGGCCUCAAGGCCAAACUUGUUCAUGCUAUCCAAGUCAUACGUCCAUAACCUUGUCCCAGCACAGGAGAGCAAGCUCCGUCCACCCCAAGCCCUGGAGCAGGCGACAUGAACAUUAGAGGCGGUUAAACGAUGUCCCCAUCUGCAGGCGUGUUGACCGGCAAGAACAUGAACUAUGCCGUCCUGGCAUCAGCAUCUGCAGUCGUGUGAUGUUCGGCAUCCGCUACAACUCCGACGGUAAGUCCUCUGUACUGUGCUCUGUACCUUGCCUUCGAGUUAUGAGAUUUUUUUUUGAAACUAUGAUGAUUUUUAUAGCAAAUUCGGAAACUAUACACCCUAAUGGAGAAAAAUCAAAAGUAUCACCCCGUCGGCCUCCUGUUGGCCGAAGAGGGACUUUUCGGCCUCCUGUUGGCCGAAGAGGCUACUUGUGUGAUCUGUAUGUUGGCCAAGUGCUUGCUACUCCCUCCGAUCCAAAAAAAAAGUGUCGUGGCUUCAACCAAGAUACUUUUUUUUUGGAUCGGCGGGGGUAAUUGAUAUGCCUGGUUUGUAAUUGGGUUGGCCAUUGAAGGGUUUUUAUCAUUUAUGCCACCGGUUGUGUCCCACUACUCGGUUUUGCCAAUAGGAAUUUCAACCGCUCAAAAAUGCCAUUGCUUUGUUAGACACAUGCUCAAAAAUGCCACUGGACACCAUUAUUGUGAUUUCAAAUCUCUUUUGCAAUGUUAUAAUGAUAUAAAUACCUAUGGACCGAUAUGUCAGCUAUCCCUUUAUUUCACUAUAAUAAAGUGUGGGGCCUACUUGAUCCUAAUAGCGUUCUUAUUUUCUUGUAAAAUUGUUCGCUUGGUUACUACUAACAAGUGGGGCCACAUUUAUCAUUGUGAGACAGAGAGAACUGACAUGUGCGCUAGGCUUAUUUUUGUCAUAUAACAUGGUCAACAGGUUUGAUGUGAAAAUAACAAUAUCUAAUGGCAUUUUGGGCAAACAUCUAACGAAACGAUGGAAUUUUUUUUCAUUGGAAUUUUUUAUAUAUCUAAUAGCAUUUUUGAGCAAGCAUCUCACGGAUCGAUGGUAUUUUUGAGUAGUUGUAACUUCUAAUGGCAAAAUAGAGUAGUGAGACACAACUAGUGGCAUAAAUGAUAAAAACCCAUUGAACUAUUGGUGGCGAGUGCUUGUGCUUUGUUUGUUGGCUGCCGAAGUGUUGGAUAUUGAACUAGCUUUGAAAUUGAUCAUGAUUCAUGUCCUUUUCUCCUUGUUUAUCAUUCUUGAUUGAUAUAGAUUUAUAUACUGGAUCGUGAUGAUUUUUUGUGUAUGCUAGACUUGGCUUCUUUAGCCUUUGAAAAACAACAGAUUUUAUUUGAUA